UACGAGGGGGGCGAGCGUUGUUCGGAAUUAUUGGGCGUAAAGGGCGCGUAGGCGGUGCGGUAAGUCACCUGUGAAACCUCUGGGCUUAACUCAGAGCCUGCAGGCGAAACUGCCGUGCUGGAGUGUGGGAGAGGUGCGUGGAAUUCCCGGUGUAGCGGUGAAAUGCGUAGAUAUCUGCAGGAACACCCGUGGCGAAAGCGGCGCGCUGGACCACUACUGACGCUGAGGAACGAAAGCUAGGGGAGCAAACAGG
rnacentral:rRNA from 1 species